GACGAACGCUGGCGGCGUGCCUAAUACAUGCAAGUCGAACGCUUCUUUCCUCCCGAGUGCUUGCACUCAAUUGGAAAGAGGAGUGGCGGACGGGUGAGUAACACGUGGGUAACCUACCCAUCAGAGGGGGAUAACACUUGGAAACAGGUGCUAAUACCGCAUAACAGUUUAUGCCGCAUGGCAUAAGAGUGAAAGGCGCUUUCGGGUGUCGUUGAUGGAAGGACCCGCGGUGCAUUAGCUAGUUGGUGAGGUAACGGCUCACCAAGGCCACGAUGCAUAGCCGACCUGAGAGGGUGAUCGGCCACACUGGGACUGAGACACGGCCCAGACUCCUACGGGAGGCAGCAGUAGGGAAUCUUCGGCAAUGGACGAAAGUCUGACCGAGCAACGCCGCGUGAGUGAAGAAGGUUUUCGGAUCGUAAAACUCUGUUGUUAGAGAAGAACAAGGACGUUAGUAACUGAACGUCCCCUGACGGUAUCUAACCAGAAAGCCACGGCUAACUACGUG
rnacentral:rRNA from 1 species